UGUUAUACAGCAUGGAAAGUGUAAGGAAUGGAAAGGUGAAUAUACUGUUCAAAGUGACAAGUUUGCAACACGAAUUUUUCUGAAUCAAGAAAUUGAUGAAGUUGAUGAGCUAAGGAGGAGGCAUAUAUUGAAGUUUGGACAAGGGAGUAGUUCUACUUCUCAGACGAUACUAUCGUCUCAGAGUAUUUUUCCAUUACAUAAAGAAUUUGUAACUGAAGGAAAUGUCUUGUGUUGUGGUUGCGACAAUUAAGAUUGUGCAAGAAGAGUAUGGUUGGUUUUAUGCUGCCUGUCGUAAGUGUUUCAAGAAGGUGAUGGGUAAAAGUGAAUACUUGCAGAAUGUUGAGAAUGUUUCAGAUGAUAUUCUUUGAUUGCCUGCGACUUCUUUGGUUUGUAUCAGAUGUCAUACUGAAUGUACAUCGAUCACCACAAAGUUCAAGGUGCAAGUGCGGGUUCAGGAUGAGAGUGGUAGUGUUUCUUUUGUUAUGUUUGAUAGAGAUGUUCAGAAGCUUCUUGGAUUAGCGGCGAGUGACAUAAGAGAGAGGCAGGUUAAGGCCAAUGAUACUGGAUUCCCUCAUGAGAUAUUUCGAUUGGUUGAUAAGAAGG